rnacentral:misc_RNA from 1 species
GUAGGAGCCAGGCUUGCCCGCGAUGAAGGCGCCUCGGUUUCAGGACAAACCGCGUUAACUUCAUCGCGGGCAAGCCUGGCUCCCAC